AGGAAUUGGCGGGGGAGCACCACAAGGGGUGAAGCUUGCGGUUUAAUUGGAGUCAACACCGGGAACCUUACCAGGGGCGACAGUUGGAUGAAGGUCAGAUUAAAGGUCUUACCGGACUAGCUGAGAGGAGGUGCAUGGCCGUCGCCAGUUCGUGCCGUGAGGUGUUCUCUUAAGUGAGAAAACGAACGAGACCCGUGCCCUUAGUUGCCAUCGUAUUCCCUCGGGAAUGCAGGCACACUAGGGGGACUGCCUCCGCUAAGGGGGAGGAAGGAGCGGGCCACGGCAGGUCAGUAUGCCCCGGAUCCCCUGGGCCACACGCGAGCUGCAAUGGCUGGGACAAUGGGCUCCGACCCCGAAAGGGGAAGGUAAUCCUCAAACCCAGCCUCAGUUGGGAUCGAGGGCUGCAACCCGCCCUCGUGAACAUGGAAUCCCUAGUAACCGCGUGUCAUCAUCGCGCGGUGAAUACGUCCCUGCUCCUUGCACACACCGCCCGUC
rnacentral:rRNA from 1 species